GUCUAUAGCCAUGUCACCCUGAACAAGCCGGAUGUCUGAUCUUGGAAGCUAAACAGGGUUGGGCCUGGUUAGUACUUGGAUGGGAGACCACCUAGGAAGACCAGGUGCUGUAGGCA
rfam:Pteropus alecto contig21810, whole genome shotgun sequence.